GGAAACAUGUCGCUCAGGAGGUGCUUGGACCCUCAUCCAUCCAAGAAUGUCAUUUUCUUGCCGCUGGCUGCGUGAGGCCUCAGUAGGGGAGAAGAUUCAAAUCCAGCAGUUCUACCUACGCUUCAAGAAGGAUGAAAAUCACUGAAGGCUCCCUGAAAUGCUUAUCGUGUUUAUUCAGUAGUCAUUUAUUUACACCGCAAUGUGUUUAAGUGUUCUUGGUUUGACUCAAGGUUGCUAUAAUAUCUUAUCUUAUAGGUAUUCUAAGCUUUUUUUUGUAUGUGCUCAUCCAUUGAUUUACACAAAUAUAAGUUUAAGAGCGUAAGUGUCUUUCUGUUUACACUUUGGAGAGCAUAGACUCACCAUAACCUUGUACAACACAUAAAGAAAGGUUACACAUGAACAAUAUAUACCUAAAAAAGAAACCAGCAAAUCAACAAAAACAGCUAAUGUUAAGAUAUUCUGCUUAUUUCGUAAAGGUCAUUUCACCAGGCAGGUGUGCCUGCUUUCA